UACGUAGGGGGGCAAGCGUUGUCCGGAUUUAUUGGGCGUAAAGAGCGUGUAGGCGGCCAGGUAGGUCCGUUGUGAAAACUCGAGGCUCAACCUCGAAGACGUCGAUGGAAACCAUCUGGCUAGAGUCCGGAAGAGGAGAGUGGAAUUCCUGGUGUAGCGGUGAAAUGCGCAGAUAUCAGGAAGAACACCCGGUGGCGAAGGCGGCUCACUGGACCGGUUCUGACGGCUGACG
rnacentral:rRNA from 1 species